rnacentral:rRNA from 1 species
AGAGUUUGAGUCCUGGCUCAGGAUGAACGCUGGCGGUGUGCCUAAUACAUGCAAGUCGAUCGGGCGUAGCAAUACGUCAGAGGCGUACGGGUGAGUAACACGUAGGUAACCUACCUUUAAGACUGGGAUACCCAGACGAAAGUUUGGCUAAUACCGGAUAACAACAUUUGAGACAUCUCUUUUGUUUGAAAGGCGCUGCAAGGCGCCACUUUUAGAUGGACCUGCGUCGCAUUAGCUAGUUGGUGAGAUAAAAGCCCACCAAGGCUGGGAUGCGUAGCCGAUCUGAGAGGAUGACCGGCCACAAUGGGACUGAGACACGGCCCAUACUCCUACGGGAGGCAGCAGUAGGGAGUUUUCGGCAAUGGGGGAAACCCUGACCGAGCAACACCGCGUGAGUGAUGAAAGGUCUUCGGAUCGUAAAGCUCUGUUACGAGGGACGAAUGAUCGCUUUAGGAAAUGAGAGCGGUUUGACGGUACCUCGCCAGAAAGCGACGGCUAACUACGUGCCAGCCGCUGC